rnacentral:rRNA from 1 species
GACGAACGCUGGCGGCGUGCUUAACACAUGCAAGUCGAACGGAAAGGCCCUGCUUUUGUGGGGUGCUCGAGUGGCGAACGGGUGAGUAACACGUGAGUAACCUGCCCUUGACUUUGGGAAAACUUCAGGAAACUGGGGCUAAUACCGGAUAGGAGCUCCUGCUGCAUGGUGGGGGUUGGAAAGUUUCGGCGGUUGGGGAUGGACUCGCGGCUUAUCAGCUUGUUGGUGGGGUAGUGGCUUACCAAGGCUUUGACGGGUAGCCGGCCUGAGGGGGUGACCGGCCACAUUGGGACUGAGAUACGGCCCAGACUCCUACGGGAGGCAGCAGUGGGGAAUAUUGCACAAUGGGCGGAAGCCUGAUGCAGCAACGCCGCGUGCGGGAUGACGGCCUUCGGGUUGUAAACCGCUUUCGCCUGUGACGAAGCGUGAGUGACGGUAAUGGGUAAAGAAGCACCGGCUAACUACGUG